GAUGAAGAACGUAGUGAAAUACGAUAAGUAAUGCGAAUUGCAGAAUUCAGUGAGUCAUCGAAUCUUUGAACGCACAUUGCGCCCUGUGGUAUUCCGCAGGGCAUGCCUGUUCGAGCGUCAUUUCAACCCUCAAGCUCUGCUUGGUGUUGGGCCCUGCCCGCUGCGGCCGGCCCUAAAGACAGUGGCGGUGCCGCCUGGCCCUGAGCGUAGUACAUCUCUCGCUCCAGUGCCCGGUGGUAGCCUGCCAGAACCCCAACUCUCGUGGUUGACCUCGGAUCAGGUAGGGAUACCCGCUGAACUUAAGCAUAUCAAUAAGCGGAGGA
rnacentral:misc_RNA from 1 species